rnacentral:tRNA from 1 species
GGGCGUGUAGCUCAGUGGUAGAGCGUCAGGUUGUGGCCCUGAAGGUCGCGGGUUCGAAACCCGUCGCGCCCUCCA